rnacentral:rRNA from 1 species
GACGAACGCUGGCGGCGUGCCUAAUACAUGCAAGUCGAGCGCAGAGGGGAGGUACUUGUACCUACUGGGUGAGCGGCGGACGGGUGAGUAACGCGUGGAGAAUCUGCCUAUGAGCGGGGGACAACAUCGGGAAACGGAUGCUAAUACCGCAUAAAAACUUUAAACACAAGGUUCAAGAGUGAAAGACGCAAUUGCAUCACUCAAUGGUGAUACCGCGUUGUCUUAGCUAGGUGGGGAGGGAAAGGCUUACCCAGGCGAUGAAACCUAGGCGGCCCGGGAGGGUGGUCGGCCCACUUGGGAACUGGACACGGCCCCAACCCCUUCGGGAGGCCGCCGGAGGGAAAUUUCGGCAAAGGGCCGAAGGCCGACCGAGCCACGCCGCGGGGGUGAAUAAAGUUCUCGGAUCGGAAAACCUCGUUUGUAGGGAAGAAAGUUGGUGGGAAUUGAAUGCGCAUGAAGUGACGGUACCUACCCAGAAAGCGACGGCUAACUACGUG